CCUACGGGUGGCAGCAGUGGGGAAUAUUGCACAAUGGGGGAAACCCUGAUGCAGCGACGCCGCGUGAGUGAAGAAGUUGUUCGUUAUGUAAAGCUCUAUCAGCAGGGAAGAAAAUUACGGUACCUGAGUAAGACGCCCCGGCUAACUACGUGCCAGCAGCCGCGGUCAUACGUAGGGGGCAAGCGUUAUCCGGAUUUACUGGGUGUAAAGGGAGCGUAGACGGCAGUGCAGGUCUGGAGUGAAAGGCGUGGGCUCAACCCCCGGACUGCUCUGGAAACUGUACGGCUGGAGUGCAGGAGAGGUAAGUGGAAUGCCUAGUGUAGCGGUGAAAUGCGUAGAUAUUAGGAGGAACACCAGUGGCGAAGGCGGCUUACUGGACUGUAACUGACGUUGAGGCACGAAAGCGUGGGGAGCAAACAGGAUUAGAUACCCUGGUAGUC
rnacentral:rRNA from 1 species